GACGAACGCUGGCGGCGUGCUUAACACAUGCAAGUCGAACGGAAAGGCCCUGCUUUUGUGGGGUGCUCGAGUGGCGAACGGGUGAGUAACACGUGAGUAACCUGCCCUUGACUUUGGGAUAACUUCAGGAAACUGGGGCUAAUACCGGAUAGGAGCUCCUGCUGCAUGGUGGGGGUUGGAAAGUUUCGGCGGUUGGGGAUGGACUCGCGGCUUAUCAGCUUGUUGGUGGGGUAGUGGCUUACCAAGGCUUUGACGGGUAGCCGGCCUGAGAGGGUGACCGGCCACAUUGGGACUGAGAUACGGCCCAGACUCCUACGGGAGGCAGCAGAGGGGAAUAUUGCACAAUGGGCGGAAGCCUGAUGCAGCAACGCCGCGUGCGGGAUGACGGCCUUCGGGUUGUAAACAGCUUUCGCCUGUGACGAAGCGUGAGUGACGGUAAUGGGUAAAGAAGCACCGGCUAACUACGUG
rnacentral:rRNA from 1 species